rnacentral:snRNA from 1 species
GGAUGUGAGGCUGAUCUAGCUGUGACAUCUCUCACCUCAUUGAUCACCAGGAUUGAUUUGGCAGAUCUGGUCGGCUAGGCAGGUGUCCCCUUCCUCCCUCACUGUUCCAAGUGUAUCUGGUCCAAAGCUGCAUGCUCAGUCGCUCAGUCGAAGAGGACAACCAGCCCCAGUAGAGGAGGACUGUUUCCUUGGUUAAGGGUAUGCGAGUAGCUGUGCUUUGCCGCUAGAACCUCCACACAAGCUCUCAAGAAUUGCUCCUGAUGCUCUGCUUACAGCAGUACAGGGCUUUUCUAGCGUAUUCCUCCAGAUACUGCCCACCCUUGCCAGUUAUC